rnacentral:lncRNA from 1 species
UGAUGUGUGUAGGAGAUAUGGUAAUUAAAUUUGAUGAUGUAUGUGAUUUUGUGAUAACUGCAGUUAUGUGUAUAUUUGAGAAUAUAAUAUUGGAUUUGAAUAUUAUACUCCUUGAGUUUUUAUGUGUGGUUGAAACAUGUGAAAUAAAUGUUACUUGAUAUUAUUUACAUGGUUAUAUGAAGUGUGAUGAAUUCCUUAAUUGUUGAUUUAAUCAUUGUGCUUGAUUAUAC